rnacentral:rRNA from 1 species
UACAGAGGGGGCAAGCGUUGUUCGGAAUUACUGGGCGUAAAGGGCGCGUAGGCGGCCUGCUAAGUCGAACGUGAAAUCCCUGGGCUCAACCCAGGAACUGCGUCCGAUACUGGUUGGCUUGAAUCCGGGAGAGGGAUGUGGAAUUCCAGGUGUAGCGGUGAAAUGCGUAGAUAUCGGGAGGAACACCAGUGGCGAAGGCGACUACCUGGCUUGUUCUUGACGCUGAGGCGCGAAAGCUAGGGGAGCAAACGGG